rnacentral:piRNA from 1 species
UAGCCCACUGCCACACCAUACACCAAAC